rnacentral:rRNA from 1 species
GACGAACGCUGGCGGCGUGCCUAACACAUGCAAGUCGAGCGGGGUUGAAGCGAGGGGUAACUCGAGUUUCUACCUAGCGGCGGACGGGUGAGUAACGCGUGGGCAACCUGCCUCAAGGACUGGGAUAACAGCUCGAAAGGGCUGCUAAUACCGGAUAAGCCUAUGGCCUCGCAUGGGGCCAUGAGCAAAGGGGAAACCCGCCUUGAGAUGGGCCCGCGUCCCAUCAGCUAGUUGGUGAGGUGAAGGCUCACCAAGGCGACGACGGGUAGCCGGCCUGAGAGGGUGACCGGCCACACUGGGACUGAGACACGGCCCAGACUCCUACGGGGGCAGCAGUGGGGAAUCUUGCACAAUGGGCGAAAGCCUGAUGCAGCGACGCCGCGUGAGCGAAGAAGGCCUUCGGGUGUAAAGCUCUGUCUGGAGGACGAAGGAAGUGACGGUACCUCCGGAGGAGCCACGGCUAACUACGUGCCAGCAGCCGCGGUAAAAUCACGUGUACUA